CCCAGACUCCUACGGGAGGCAGCAGUGGGGAAUAUUGCACAAUGGGGGGAACCCUGAUGCAGCGACGCCGCGUGGGCGAGGAAGUAUUUCGGUAUGUAAAGCCCUAUCAGUGGGGAAGAAAAAGGACGGUACCCAAAGAAGAAGCCCCGGCUAACUACGUGCCAGCAGCCGCGGUAAUACGUAGGGGGCAAGCGUUAUCCGGAUUUACUGGGUGUAAAGGGAGCGAAGACGGCAAUGCAAGUCUGGAGUGAAAGGCGGGGGCCCAACCCCCGGACUGCUCUGGAAACUGUAUAGCUGGAGUGCAGGAGAGGUAAGUGGAAUUCCUAGUGUAGCGG
rnacentral:rRNA from 1 species